rnacentral:rRNA from 1 species
GACGAACGCUGGCGGCGUGCUUAACACAUGCAAGUCGAACCGAAAGGCCCUGCUUUUGUGGGGUGCUCGAGUGGCGAACGGGUGAGUAACACGUGAGUAACCUGCCCUUGACUUUGGGAUAACUUCAGGAAACUGGGGCUAAUACCGGAUAGGAGCUCCUGCUGCAUGGUGGGGGUUGGAAAGUUUCGGCGGUUGGGGAUGGACUCGCGGCUUAUCAGCUUGUUGGUGGGGUAGUGGCUUACCAAGGCUUUGACGGGUAGCCGGCCUGAGAGGGUGACCGGCCACAUUUGGACUGAGAUACCGGCCAGACUCCUUCCGGAGGGAGCAGGGGGGGAUAUUGCACAAUGGGCGGAAGCCUGAUGCAGCAACGCCGCGUGCGGGAUGACGGCCUUCGGGUUGUAAACCGCUUUCGCCUGUGACGAAGCGUGAGUGACGGUAAUGGGUAAAGAAGCACCGGCUAACUACGUG